rnacentral:rRNA from 1 species
GGUGACAGUGGGAUGCGAAGUCGCAAGAUGGAGCCAAUCCCCAAAAGCCGUCUCAGUUCGGAUUGCACUCUGCAACUCGGGGGCAUGAAGUUGGAAUCGCUAGUAAUCGCGGAUCAGCACGCCGCGGGGAAUACGUUCCCGGGCCUUGUACACACCGCCCGUCACACCAUGGGAGUUGGCUUUACCCGAAGGUGGUGCGCUAACCGGCA